AUCACUUCUUGGCCUUUUGGCUAACAUCAAGUGUAGUGUCUGUUCUUAUCAGUUUAAUAUCUGAUAUGUCAUCUCUCCGAGGGCAAUAUAUUAAGUGGAUUUUUGGAGCAGGGAGAUGGAAUAGGAGCUUGCUCCGACCACUCCACACAUUGACCUGGUAUCGCAGUACCUCCAGGAACAGUGCGAAAAAA
rnacentral:snRNA from 1 species